CGACGUUGAAGAGAAGUAUGAUAGUUUACUUUUUAUCUAGGAUGUGGAGGUGUACUAGAAGUUAAGUACGCUAGUGUACUGUUGAUAUGCUAGUCUAAGCACUUUUUAUGCUAGUCUAAGCGCAUUAUAUGCUAGUCUAAGCACUUUUUAUGCUAGUCUAAGUUGUUUUUUAUGCUAGUCUAAGCGCAUUAUAUGCUAGUCUAAGCACUUUUUAUGCUAGUCUUAGUUGUUUUUUAUGCUAGUCUAAGCGCAUUAUAUGCUAGUCUAUGUAUUAGAAGUGAAGUACACUAGUGUACAUUUGAUAUGACAGUCUGAGUUCUUUUGAUACGCUAGUCUAAGCACUUUUUAUGCGAGUCUAAGUAUUAGAAGUGAAGUACACUGGUGUACAUUUGAUACACUAGUCUAAGCACUUUUUAUGCUAGUCUAAGUAUUAUAAGUGAAGUACAUUGAAUUCGUUUGAUAUGCUAGUCUAAGUUCUUUUGAUAUGCUAGUCUAAGUUCGUUUGAUAUGCUAGUCUAAGUUCGUUUGAUAUGCUAGUCUAAGUACUCUGGAUAUGCUAGUCUAAGUUCGUUUGAUAUGCUAGUCUAAGUUCAUUUGAUAUGCUAGUCUAAGUUCGUUUGAUAUGGUAGUCUAAGUUCGUUUGAUAUGCUAGUCUAAGUUCGUUGAUAUGCUAGUCUAAGUACUCUGGAUGUGCUAGUCUAAGUUCUUUUGAUAUACUAGUCUAAGUUCGUUUGAUAUGCCAGUCUAAGUUUGUUUGAUAUGCUAGUCUAAGUUCUUUUGAUAUGCUAGUGUAAGUUCGUUUGAUAUGCCAGUCUAAGUUCUUUUGAUAUGCCAGUCUAAGUUUGUUUGAUAUGCUAGUCUAAGUUCUUUUGAUAUGCUAGUGUAAGUUCGUUUGAUAUGCCAGUCUAA
ensembl:lncRNA